UACGAAGGGGGCUAGCGUUGUUCGGAAUCACUGGGCGUAAAGCGCGCGCAGGCGGAUCGAUAAGUCGGGGGUGAAAGCCCGGGGCUCAACCUCGGAAUUGCCUUCGAUACUGUCGGUCUCGAGUCCGGGAGAGGUGAGUGGAAUUCCUAGUGUAGAGGUGAAAUUCGUAGAUAUUAGGAAGAACACCAGUGGCGAAGGUGGCUCACUGGCCCGGUACUGACGAUCAGGUGCGAAAGCGUGGGGAGCAAACAGG
rnacentral:rRNA from 1 species